UAAAGAUCUUUCCGUUGAUCUGCACAUUUAAAUUUCGGAACCGCCUUUUCUUGGUACCCUAUGCAACGGCCAAACGGUCUAAAUCUCAUCCUUUGUUUCAUCUUCUUCUCUCAAAUCCCUAAUAUCCGACGAUUGUUCAGAAAUGGGAAAGAAAUCGGAGUCCCCGAUCAAGCUGACACCGCCGCCGCGUCGAAGGGAGACGCAGCUCGUGUCUCCUCUUCCACCGGUGGCGCCGAUGAAGACCGAGUCUCCUGUCUAUUACUACAACAUUUACGGGAAGAGAAUCCCGAUCAGCAAGAACACGUAUUACAGUUUGUUGGUAGAUGCUCUGAACGCAAAAUUCGAACCGUUACUCUUGUCUCGACCCGAAGAAGAUCCUGAGACCGCCCGCCGACGGAAAAUCAAGAUCCUUAUGUCUAUGCGCUAAUGGGUUCCGGGUUUUGCGGUCUUUUUGUUACAGUAAUAACGUCUCUAAUCUCUUACUUGCUUUUACAUGAUCAUUCUUUCAUUUUUUGCUUUGUUAAUUUUCUUUUAGGAAAAACAAAAUUAGGGUUUCCAAUUUCGAAUUUGGUAGCAUUAUCAGGAAUUUUACUGCUCUGGAAUUACUGAAGGUAAGUUGACAAAAGCACUAUCUUUGUAGGCUUAGUUUGAUUUUUUUUAUAUUUUUUAAUGAAAAUUUUACCUUGUUAUGUUUUUGUUUCAGCAGUGACCUAAAGGUAUGGAAUUAUUGCAGCAUAAGAAUGUUUAAAUUUUCUGUUUCAACCUACAAUGCUCUACCUCCUCAUGUUUCUUCUUCUGACAGGACAUAAUAUCUUUGAUUAUAACACUAUUGGAUGUGAAUGUCAAGCUUGAUAGAAUUGUAUAUUGAAACUAUUCCGUGCAUGAAUGGAGGUCAUUCAAUUUCCCUUUUAAACAAAUUAAGAAUCAGUAUCAUGGUACUUUCUGUUGGGUUUCCCUAGGAAGAACGGAAAUUUUUCUGCAAAAAGUGCUUGUUGAUGGUUAUUUUUCUCAUCAUGUUUCGUUUUAUCUUCACUAGCUCUCACUGAUACGUAUAGUGAAGAAGAUAAUGCAUUCAUCUGGCUUCUUGGCAUUGAUCAUAAGCCUCAAGCUUGGUCUGUUUCUUCUUUCAUCAAUGAUUGUCAUUUUGUUAGCUACUAUUUGAGGAUAAUUCUACUACUUUUAAUUGCUUUAGAGUCUUUAAAUCCCUUUGGUUCAAGUCUCUUUGGACCUAAUGGUGGAUAAUGUAGGAGCCAUGUAUCAAGCAUUGAACUUUCGUAGGAAAGGUGAAAUCCUUGAAUUUUAAUCUCCCUCACCCCUUAUACUCAAGUUUCCUUUUACUUCAUAAAUCAUAAAUUGCAUAUAUUUUCUCAAAUGGAAUAGGCGCAAUGGUGGUGUUAUACUACUAGUAGCAGUACAGCAUGAUAUUUAGAAUCAGAGCUAUUUUUUCUUGAAACUUCAAAGCUUUCAUCAAAUCACUGUUUUAAACUUGUCAUUGAUGGCUUGGCACUAUGAAAUCCUAGCAAUGCUGAAUGUGGAGGUGUGAUCAAAGGUACAUGGACUGUUUUUUAUCUCCCUUUUUGUUAUACACUUUUGUAUUUCCUGUGAUAUGCAGCCGAGCUGAUGGCAGUAGAGGAGGAUAUUUUAUCAUCCCGAAAGUUAAAAGAUGAGAUUUCUUCAGGCCAGAACUGUUUCUACCAGUAGAGGAGGAUAUUUUUUUCAUGCCUUUACAGAAUCUAGUAUCUUCAUUUUCAACCAGAUAAGUUUCUUCUGUGUAGCUUAGCUUUGCUAACAUCUUGUUGCGCAGUGCAAAUCUCUUUUUUCCUAGAGAGGGUAAUUAGGUUACUGGCUAGUACACUCAACAUGGAUCUGCCACACCCGGAAGCAUGCAGAUUUUCUUUAUUGCAGAGAAGCUAACCAGGUUGCUGUCUUGGCCACUCAUUAUAGACCUGCCACACCUAGAACAUUUAUCUUGGGAGUUGUACGUGGUGGGGGGGUAUUGGGUCUGUAAUGUGCAUGCAUACAUUCCAUUUGCAGAUACGAGAAGUUCUUGUGGGCUCUGUUUUGCUGAAUACUGAUGGGUCAAAGUGAGAUGCUGAAAGAAGAGCAGGAUGACGAGGAUGGUGGAGCAAGCAGGCCGUGGGUUGUUAUUCUCUAAGAAGCAUUGAAUGCUGGCAAGAUGAUUUCACAUUUUUGUUCCAGAUUUUGUAGGAAUAUUGUAUUUAGACUUGACUGAGUAACCUGGGUUGAUAUGACUCAGGCUUGUCUGUUUAACAGAUGGUUCUUGCAAUACAAUGUGCUGCUUCUUACCUUCUAAUUGCAGUUUUUCCUUUCUA
rnacentral:sRNA from 1 species